UUGAAAUGCAAUCCUGUAACUGUUUCAGUCUUUAAAAGUUAAGUGGGUAAUUGAGGAGGUAAGCAAUCUCAGGGUCAACUGUAUACUGAGUUUCUUGAGACUGUAUUGUCCAUCAAACGCACUGACACCAUUUUUCUAAAAUGCUUUGAAAGUGACUUCAUUACCAAAGCUAUGACUGUGAUGCUCCGAGCUCAGAAGCUGACAUGAAGGCACAGCUAUGGUGACCAAGACAGUUUGGAUUGCAUCUUGGAAAAGCAGGAUCUUCUUGACUCACUGUCUUUCAGCCUGUGCCAAGGUUCCAGCUCUCUUUGCUGGAAGGAUAGAUUUCAAGCCCACAAAUCAGUAAGACUUCCAUAUGCUGCCAUGUGGAGUUGGGCAUGUGCAUGAGUGUUUUUCUGGAUCAAGAUUAGAGUUCUCACCAGUUGAAAAGAUUCACUUUGUGGUUUGUGAAGUGCUGCCAGUUCCUCUGGAAUUAAAGAUUUAUAUAAAAUAUCUUUUUUUUUUUUUUUUUUUU